UGCUCGGCCGUCGUUCGUCGGCAGGUACGGGGUGUGCCCCGCCGGUCGAGUUGGCUGUUUGUGAUUCGUUCGAGCGGUUCGGUACUGUUCGGCGGCUUGGGGCAUGGUGGGUGGGUCGUCUCCCUUAUCCUGCGUCGUCGCCUGCCUCUUCUCCUCCUGUCCUCCUUUCGUUUCGUUUCGACUCGGUGCUCACUCCUCUCCGUGCUCCUGCGCUCUGGUCUGCGAGUCGUCGCUAGGGUUGGUCGCCGACGGGCUCCGAUGGCGGCGCGCUGCCGUGACGCGGUUAAGAUCUGCUGUUCUCCUCUUUGCUGGGCCUGGAUCCGCUGCACCGUUCUUCGAUCUGCGGUUGCUCCUGCUUGGUCAGCAAACCUGCUCAUCCUCGUGUGCGUGCUGGUCUUCGCGUCUUGCUCCAAGGAUCUGCAGGUUGUUUUGGUCUAGAGGUUAUUUCUCCGAGCCGGCCGUGUUGAUAGGCCCUGUAACGUGGUGGUGUUGUUGGUUGCUUCGCACGUUCUAUACAGCGUUGAGUUCCAGAAACGGGGACUGCCACAUGCUCAUAUCCUUGUUUGGUUGAAGGGAGAUCAUUCAAAGGCCACUCAAGGCACCUAGCCCAAUGCACAGGCAACCCACAAGCCACAAGGACGACGGGGCGGCCCAUCAAAAGAGGCCCAACCAGCUAGUCCAGCCGCCGCCAUGGAUGAACCCUCCUCUGCAUUGACAACCUCGUCCAUCAAGCUGCCCACAAAUGAUGAGCUGCUGGUCAAGGGCUUUCCUCCGCAAUCUCCUAUCUGUGUCACCAUCAGCAAGCAAUUCAUUCUUGAACAAGCAAUUGAAAGAAUUGGUGGCACAAUCCAUCCAUUCACUUUCACCGACAUAGGCAGUGACGAUGUGGGUAUCUCUGUCUCUAAUGACCUGCCCCCGCACAGCAAAAGACUGUCAAGCACAACAAAGGAAUUUCAUGGACCAUGCAUUGAAUCUACGUGUGUUGCCGCCCUUGGAUACCUUCAGAAAACAGGUAUAAUCACGGUAGAUGAUGCAAAUUUCGCGAAGUUGAAAAAAUGCAAUAGAAAACUUCAGGUUGAGGAGUUCUGGUCGUCGGCGCUCUACGAUCAGGCCAGCGCCCUGCGUAACCAACUCUCUUCACUGACCGCAAUCAACCAGGGUCCUCAACCUAAGCCUAAACAAGAAGCUAAUGUGCUACCUUCUACGCACAAGAAUACUCCACGGGCCAAUUACCAAAUCAUGCUGUCCGAGGAUACCAGUGAAGAAGAAAGUGCAUCAACCCCGGUCACAGCAAAUACUAAUAGCAUCUAUCGUCUACCUUCUAAAAGUAACAAGAAGAUGAGGACCGCACGCCGAGCACUAUUCCCUGGAAAAUAGAGCAGCACACACGCCAUUGCAGGCUCCCAUCAUUACAACAACACGAUGGAAUAAGCCAUUCUCCGAGUCUACGUUGCAUUGAACCUUGCCAGAUUCAGGACCCGUCGCUUUUGUCAUACACGCAGCUUGAUCUUGCAGCUGUAUAGCACUAUGUAUAAAUGCAUGAAACCCUCUGUUAUGCUACUCCGGAUUAGAUGCAAAUUACAUGCUUUUGUACCUCCCCACGUCGAACGAAGGCAGUUCACAUUCAAGCUUUAUUGCCCCUGAACAAUUAACAUUAUAAUCUAUCUUUUCA
rnacentral:rRNA from 1 species